GUGAGGAAUUUUCCGCAAUGGGCGAAAGCCUGACGGAGCAAUGCCGCGUGAAGGAUGAAGGCCUAUGGGUUGUAAACUUCUUUUCUCAGAAAAGAAUUAUGACGGUAUCUGAGGAAUAAGCAUCGGCUAACUCUGUGCCAGCAGCCGCGGUAAGACAGAGGAUGCAAGCGUUAUCCGGAAUGAUUGGGCGUAAAGCGACUGUAGGUUGUUUACAAAGUAUUCUGUCAAAGAUUAGGGCUUAAACCUAGAUAGGCAGAAUAUACUUUUAAGCUAGAGUUUGGUAGAGGCAGAGGGAAUUCCCGGUGGAGCGGUGAAAUGCGUAGAUAUCGGGAGGAACACCAAAGGCGAAGGCACUCUGCUGGGCCAAUACUAACACUGAGAGACGAAAGCGAGGGGAGCAAAUGGGAUUAGAUACCCCGGUAGUCC
rnacentral:rRNA from 1 species